rnacentral:rRNA from 1 species
UACGGAGGUCCCGAGCGUUGUCCGGAUUUAUUGGGCGUAAAGCGAGCGCAGGUGGUUUAUUAAGUCUGGUGUAAAAGGCAGUGGCUCAACCAUUGUAUGCAUUGGAAACUGGUAGACUUGAGUGCAGGAGAGGAGAGUGGAAUUCCAUGUGUAGCGGUGAAAUGCGUAGAUAUAUGGAAGAACACCAGUGGCGAAAGCGGCUCUCUGGUCUGUAACUGACGCUGAGGUUCGAAAGCGUGGGUAGCAAACAGG